AAGUCUGACGGAGCACGCCGCGUGAACGAUGAAGGCCUUCGGGUCGUAAAGUUCUGUUGUUAGGGAAGAACAAGUACCGGAGUAACUGCCGGUACCUUGACGGUACCUAACCAGAAAGCCACGGCUAACUACGUG
rnacentral:rRNA from 1 species